GACAGCUAUAUCACGUUGAAACACCGGUUCUCGUCCGAUCACCGAUGUUAAACAACGUUGAACCUGGUCAGUACUUGGAUGGGUGACCGCUUGGGAAUACCAGGUGCUGUAAGC
rnacentral:rRNA from 1 species